rnacentral:rRNA from 1 species
AUUGAACGCUGGCGGCAGGCUUAACACAUGCAAGUCGAGAGGGGUGAUGGUGCUUGCACUAUCACUUAGCGGCGGACGGGUGAGUAAUGCUUAGGAAUCUGCCUAUUAGUGGGGGACAACAUCUCGAAAGGGAUGCUAAUACCGCAUACGUCCUACGGGAGAAAGCAGGGGAUCACUUGUGACCUUGCGCUAAUAGAUGAGCCUAAGUCGGAUUAGCUAGUUGGUGGGGUAAAGGCCUACCAAGGCGACGAUCUGUAGCGGGUCUGAGAGGCUGUUCCGCCACACGGGGACUGAGACACGGCCCAGACUCCUACGGGAGGCAGCAGUGGGGAAUAUUGGACAAUGGGUGGAACCCAGAUCCAGCCAUGCCGCGUGUGUGAAGAAGGCCUUAUGGUUGUAAAGCACUUUAAGCGAGGAGGAGGCUCUUUUGGUUAAUACCCAAGAUGAGUGGACGUUACUCGCAGAAUAAGCACCGGCUAACUCUGUGCCAGCCGCCGCAGUAA